UAAAUGUGUGCAGUUGUGUGCUUGUGUGUACACUGAAACUAUGGGCUAUAGUUAAGAGGCCGCGUCUAACCAAUCAGAGGAACAGUGACAAGGCAGGAUGUAGGCAGCAGCAGAGGAAAUGCAACAGAUGUGACAAAUGAUUGUGUUAGACAACAGAACACACUCAAAGGCAAAUUGGUUGUUGGAGGCAGUAAAGAAAGGGGAGGCGUUUGGGGCUCUCAUGAUGAUGUCUCUAGUUAAAGGCCUUGGGAGAAUGAUGCAUCAUUGGCUUAGCUGAGACACGGGGAGAACAAUGAAGUUGAUUUUGAACGCACCGGAGAAGGUAUGUUUGCUGGGGAUGGAGGCAGCUGUUUCUGAAGCUCCUAACAUGGAGGAAGGACAUUGCAGUGACCAGAAGAGAAAGAGGAUAUUCUGGGACAGGGUCAAGACCCCUGCUGAUGCUCCCAGGCAAAGAGUUAAGGCUUAGGUUGGAACAGUCCCAGCUCCAUCUGCAGGGCUGGCCCUGGUUCCCAGGUCUCCUGUCACAUUGACACCCCUCUCUGCUUGUCACGAGUCAGGCACUGACAGCCUCAAUGGUGCUGGCGAUUUAUCAGAGAGUGGAAAAAGAUAAUUGACCAUCAUCUCGCCUCACCUCACCUCGCCUCCGCUGAUAGAGAAAAAUUUAACUGCUUCAUUCCACUAUAAUUUCACAUAAUUCUCCAUCUUUCUCUCCCACGUUUUUACAUGGAAGUUUACAAAAGUGAUUGAUGAUUUGCUAUCAAAUAUAAAGAAAAAGAAGCUAAACUAUCACCGGACAGUUUAACAGCCUUUAAAAUAUAAUGGUUUCUCUGGCUGGACAUCCACAGUUGCCGUAGAAUCUCAGAAGGUCAAGCUUUAAUGAACUGUUAGGGUGAACAAAUUCAGAAAACCCAUA
rnacentral:lncRNA from 1 species